CUCCCUCCUUCCCUGCCUCGAUCCACGCCGUCCGCUUCCCUCCACUGUGGAGCUCGCUGCGGGGAGACAAGGAGGAGGAGAUGGGGGCAACGUCGUCUUCCCGGUCACCGGCCACAUCCUGGACAACCUCCCCGAGGUUCGGAUGCCAGCCACGACCCCGACCUGCUGCUGCGGGACACCUCUUCGUCCCGCUUCCGUCGGCAGCCUCCCCGAGUUUGCACCUUCCCGGUGGCGGUCAGCUAAUACACCUGCAAUACGCCACCGCCGGCAGGAAAGAGCAUGGUGACAUGACAGUCAAGCUCGCUGACGGUCGCGGCCGGAGGGAGGAGCAUCGGCGGCUGCAUAAGCUCAUUGGCGGCGCAUUUCCUGGCUGUGGGGAAGCCUGGAGGACAGGCUGCUACCCCGAGCUUUUGAUUGCCAUUCAUGGGGACCUCCUGCCAGUGACUUCCCCGACCACCUCUCCGAGAUGCUGGUGGCAUUCCCAACCUCUUGCCGCUGACCACCACUAUGACUUGCCGCUGCUGGCAACCUCCCCAACAAGCUACUCCUGGAUUGAGCAUACAUAUAUGCAGUAGAUGGAAAUCCCUUUCAGUAAAUAAAACGUGCUAUGUGCAUAGGAUGGUCCAUACUUGUACAUUUUCCUGCUAUGCAUCUAUAAGAUGUAAGAUGGUAAAGAAGAAAAAAUCAAGAAAAAAGGCAUCCAGGUGCUCGGCAAAUGCCCCGCAGCUAUGAGUGCUUAUGAACAUGUCCAGCAGGCUACAGAGGACAACGUCAAUGCUGUGGUUCCCUCCGUGGUGCUAACUCGUCACAGCGGUGCACCUCAGAACACCAAGACGACAACUUGGAAGAUUCAAAACUUGUGAAGUAGCUUUAGUUGCAGAAAACACCAAACUGAAGCUGUCACUGGAGGAAGCUGUAAAUUUGCCGAGCUUAGCGAAAACUAUGGAUCAUGAGCAACAGUGGACGAAAUUGGAGAUCUUAGAUGAGGGAACUAAAGAAAGCCUAUAAGAACCUGAGCCGAACCAAGAGCCAAGAGGCACCCCUGCCCUGGCCUAGCUGACGACCCGAGGCUACAGUUGUUGUCGAGGUGCUUCUGCCACAGGGAGGAGGUGGCACAACACCUGGUCAUGGUGCUCCUAGCGGAACUCCAUGCUGGGGGAGACCACUUCAUCCUGCUGCCAUCCGCAACCUCCCCAAGCUUGCAGCUGCUCGGU